UACGGAAGGUGCAAGCAUUAAUCGGAAUUAUUGGGCGUAAAGGGCGCGUAGGCGGCAGAGCAAGUCUGAUGUGAAAUUCCAAAGCUCAACUUUGGAGCUGCAUUAGAAACUGCUCAGCUAGAGGUAUGGCGGAGAAAAUGGAAUUCCACGUGUAGCGGUGAAAUGCGUAGAUAUGUGGAAGAACACCGGUGGCGAAAGCGGUUUUCUAGCUAUGACCUGACGCUGAGGCGCGAGAGCAAGGGGAGCAAACAGG
rnacentral:rRNA from 1 species